GUCCCUGUAGCACAAUGGAUACCGCGUUGGACUUCAAAUCCAAAGGUCGUGCUUUCGAAUUCCAUCUGGGAUG